CGCGAAAAGGAAAAUUUGUGAAAUAAAAACAUUUAUCUAGCAACGGUAUUGCGCAAAGAAUACCCUGCUUGUUAUGCCUCAAUGUUUUUAGGAAGUUGAACUUAACACUUUGUCACUUUCGGUAAGUGUGGAACAGCUCAUUCAAGCCCAUAAAUUUUACUAUUGUUGUGCUAAUGUUUGACUCAAAGUUAAAUAGACAUCUAAUGGAAAAGUUCGAAAAGCAUGUGGAACUGAACAUUAAAAAUAAGCCCUGGUUAAGCACAAAUAAAUGAGUUCAGAAUUCUGGUAUUGAAAGUUUUGUGCAAUAGUUAUGAUUUAAGUAGUUCCAAAUAUUGCAACAUUUUCAGCGGGAAUGUCAAAUACGAAAGUAAGACAAAUGUGAGAGGCGGAUAAAGAAGCAAGAAGCAUGCUCGAGGAUGCGCAAUUCGAAAAGCCUUUCUCAUUAGUGAGUGUUUUAUAGAGCUGUAAGGCGGGUAUAUGAGGCUAAAGUUGAGUUGUUUAGAAGGUGUAAAAGUUAAAAGCUGUGUACAUAAAAUAAUUGGAUUGACAAAUUUAUUUCGACUCUUUAGUGACAAUAAAAUUACGUUAACUUUGAUGAAUAUUAUUUCACAGUCCAAAUAUUUGCAAAAUCUUCGUUAUUUUAUUUAUAAAAUGUAUAAUAUAAAUAUUUGUACCCAUAUAGGGAUUCACUAAAGACUAUUUAGAUAUCUUCAGAGCCUUUCGAAUACUAACAGGAAUUCAAAGUUCAAGAGGUCGUACCCAAGGGUCCGCAUUGAAGUAAAUCCCAUAUACUAACCCUUAGAUGUUGUAUGAGUUAUGCCGAAGUGGACGAUUGGCGAGGCAAUAGGGCUUGGCGGUACUCAUGCUCGACAACAUCGGAAAAUAAACGCAACAAGAAAAAUCAAAUAUCACAACAUUAUAACAAUGAACACGCUCAUUAACUGUUUCACACUUACCAUACCCUUGAUGGUCAUCAGCUUUCAUCGCUCCCGAGUAAACCAAUCAAGAUAUUGUGACGGACAUCGCGAAGACGUCCCCGUCGCAUCGAAGGAUCCUUGUAAUUUAGUGAUA